GACGAACGCUGGCGGCGCGCUUAACACAUGCAAGUCGAGCGAGAACCCACCUUCGGGUGGGGGAAAGCGGCGAACGGGUGAGUAACACGUGGGCAACCCACCCUUGGUAUCCGGAUAGCCCGGGGAAACCCGGAUUAAUACGGAAUGGCCCAACAGCUCUUCGGGGCGAUUGGAAAAGGUAGCUUCGGCCUCCGACCAAGGACGGGCCCGCGGUGGAUUAGCUUGUUGGUGAGGUAACGGCCCACCAAGGCGACGAUCCAUAGCUGGUCUGAGAGGACGAUCAGCCACACUGGGACUGAGACACGGCCCAGACCCCUACGGGAGGCAGCAGUGGGGAAUCUUGCGCAAUGGGCGAAAGCCUGACGCAGCGACGCCGCGUGGGGGAAGAAGGCUUUCGGGUUGUAAACCCCUUUCAGGAAGGACGAAGCCACUCGGGUUAAUAGCCCAGAGGGUGACGGUACUUCCAGAAGAAGCCCCGGCUAACUACGUGC
rnacentral:rRNA from 1 species